CAAUGGUGGAGCUCUUUUAGAAUUUGUCUAGCAGGUUUUCCGGUUUUUGCCAGAUCCCCC
ensembl:snRNA U7 U7 small nuclear RNA